UGCUCGAACUAUUCUUACUGCUUUCUUUUGUCUCUUCAGGAAAAAGAGGGAAAAAGGUGGGGGGGAAAAACUUUCCCUUUUAUAGAAAAAUCCCAAUCAUGUCCUUCACCGGAGCUCCGCCACCACCCGGCGUGACCGCUGCAACAACGACCACACCGAAACAAUACUUCUGUUACCAAUGCAACCUUGCAGUCUCGAUAACUGUCUCUCCCUCUAAUGACCCGUUUUGCCCAAUUUGCCACGAUAGCUUCAUAGAAGAACUCGAGGCCCGAAACCCUCAAAACCCGAAUCCAUUAUCCGAAUCGGUUUUAAACGACCCUUUUGACCCCUUCUCUUCUCUUUUUCCUCCCCUCUUUCAAAUCUCUGGCAAUUUCUCUCAUCCUGAAUUUCAAAUCCGACCCGAAUUAUCUGACCAGAAUGCGUUUAACCCAUUUGAUUUCCUACGUUCUCACCUCCAAAACCUCCAUUCUGGUGGUGCUCGGGUCCAGUUCGUGAUUGAGAACAAUGGGGGCGAACAGGGAGGACUUCGAUUCCCAGGUGGUAAUUUUGGUGAUUAUUUUAUUGGGUCGGGUUUGGAGCAACUGAUCCAACAGUUGGCUGAAAAUGAUCCGAAUAGGUAUGGGACACCACCCGCGUCGAAGACGGCGAUUGAGGCGUUGCCCACGAUGAAAGUUACCGAGGAGAUGAUGAAAUCAGAGAUGAAUAAUCAAUGUGCUGUGUGUAAAGAUGAGUUUGAGAGUGGAGAAGAAGUCAAGGGAAUGCCUUGUAAACAUGUGUUUCAUGAGGAUUGUAUAAUGCCUUGGUUGAAGAUGCAUAAUUCAUGUCCUGUUUGUCGAUAUGAGUUGCCUGCUGAUGAUCCUGAUUAUGAGAAUAGAGCCACUGGAGGGCAAGGGAGUGGUGGUGGUAGUGGUGGAGGUGUGGAGAGAAGGUUUACUAUUUCGAUUCCUUGGGCGUCUGGUGGAGGUGGACAAAGCAGUUCUUGAAAGAUUGGAUUUUGGAGUGGAGACUUUUGGUGAGUGUUUUUUCUUGUUUUUGUUUUUUGGUGUAAAUGUUGUUACUUUUAUAAAAUUUGGAUCGAUUGCUUAAGGUGUUUCUGGUUUAGUGUUGUUAGAGGAGUAGUUUUGUGGAGUUAGAAUGAAUAGACCGGAUAUCAAGGAAUUUGGCAUGGUCUUUUGGCUCUUGGUAACCUGCUUUUGUAGGUGUGGAAAGAAUUUCACUCCGAAAAGGAUUCUCUUCAGGUGAGUAUGGAAGCUGGAAACUGGAAAGCAAGUUCCUGUGUGUAGAAAUGAUUGAAUGUAUUUAAGAUUUUCAUAUAUUUACAUUUUGCAAGUUACUGAACAUGGUAUAUUCAAAAUUGUUUUUCUAUGUUGUAUAGUAACUUUUAUAGGUUCUGCAUCUUGAAAUGCCCUUUUUUCCCUUGUUA